ensembl:lncRNA
GGGAGUAAGGAUAUGAAUGAAUAAGUUAGUUAAAAGUUAGAGAACCAAGUUGAUUAUAUUGCAUUCAGUUUAAAGAUGAAAUAUAUGAAGCAGCAUAGCACUGAGAUUCCUAAAAGAUGAAAAUCAAUCCAUGCCUAUUACCCAGUUAUGCAGGGAAGAGACUUUGCUGCUCCAGGGAUUCAUGCAAUGUGGUUCUUAAAAAAAGGAAAACCUUAAUUUGGAUCAUGAAACGUUUACAUUUUAUUCUGAUUUCACAUUACUGAUAUUUCAUUAAUAGGCUGUCUUUCUGUAGUCUGACUACAGCCCGGUCUCUUGGCUGUGUUUUAAGCACAUCAGAGUCAUCUGAGGAGACUUCAAAUAGACACUGUCUGAGCAUCACCUGGAUCUUGCUGCAGUGGAAUGUUCCAAGUCAGCUGGGUCAGCCAUAUUCUUCUAGCUCUGUAUUCCAUUGAAAAUACAGAAGAUGUAGGUCUGUGCAUGCCCUACCGAGGUCCCUAGUCAUGUGGAAGAUGCCAAAUCACCCCGCUGCAGAGAGGCAGCCACCUGGUUCCACACUACAAAGACACAGAGGACACCAGACCACCAGACCAAGAGGCUGGGAAGUCCAAGAGCAUGGCGUCUGAAUCGUCUCUGCUUCUAGUGAGGGCCUCAUGGUGGAAGAGCAAGAGAAUGAAUGCAGAAGAGGAAGAAUCUCACUUUAUAAC